UUCUAUGGCGGCUGUGUUCGGGAGACUCUUGAAGUCUGCCGGGGUUUGGUUGGCUUUACCCGGUCUUGCACACUCGCUCACAGCUGCCACCUUC
rnacentral:antisense_RNA from 1 species